ACAAUAUACAAAAUCUAGCAAAAAAGAACACUAAUAACACUAUCAAUCUUCUGUUCUUUUGAUAACAAUAUACAAAUUUGCAAAACAGAGAACACUAAUAACACUUCAUCUUCUCAUUUUUCAUAACAAUAUACAAAUUUACAAACAAGAACAUAAUAACAUAUCUAUCUUCUCAAUUUUCUUUGAUAACAAUAUACAAAUUUAGCAAAACAAGAACAUAAUAACACUAUCAAUCUUCUCAUUUCUGAUAACAAUAUACAAAAUUUAGCAAAACAAGAACAAAUAACAUAUCAAUCUUCUAUUUCUUGAUAACAAUAUACAAAUUUAGCAAAACAAGAACACUAAUAACACAAAUCUUCUCAUUCUUGAUAAAUAUACAAAAUUUAGCAAAACAAGAAACACUAAUAACAUUAUCAAUUCUCUCAUUUCUUAAUAACAAUACAUAAUUUAGCAAACAAGAACAUAAUAACACUGCUUCAUCUCUCAUUCUUGAUAACAAUAUACAAAAUAUAGCAAAACCAGAAACACUAAUACACUCAUCAAUCUUCUCAUUUCUUGAUAACAAUAUACAAAAUUUGCAACAGAACAUAAUACACUAUCAAUCUUCUCAUUUCUUGAUUAACAUAUACAAAAUUUAAAAAAAAACAAGAACACUAAUAACACUAUAUCUCUCAUUUCUUGAUAACAAUAAUACAAAAUUUAGCAAAACAAGACACUAAUAACAUUCAAUCUUCUCAUUUCUUGAUAAACAAUAUAAAAAAUUUAGCAAAACAAGAACAUAAUAACUAUCAAUCUUCUCAUUUCUUAAACAAUAUACAAAAUUUAGAAAAACAGAACACUAAUAACAUAUCAUCUUCUCAUUUCUUGAUAACAAUAUACAAAUUUAGCAACAAGAACACUAAUAACACUUCAAUCUUCUCAUUUUUGAUAACAAUAUACAAAAUUUAGCAAAACAAGAACACUAUCAAUCUUCUCAUUUUUGAUAACAAUAUACAAAAUUUAGCAAAACAAGAACACUAAUAACACUAUCAUCUCUCAUUUCUGAUAACAAUAUACAAAAUUCAGAACAAACAAGAAGCUUCAUUCUUGAUAACAACUAUCAUUCCAACAAGACAUAUCAUUCCAUGUCUGAUAAAUGAAAAUUUCUAAGCAAAUCAAGACACAAUAAACAUCCACUACAUUUGAACAAUUUUACGAACAAGAAAUGAUACACUCUCCAAUUCUCAUUCUGAUAACAAUAUACAAAUUUAGAAAACAAGAACUUAUCAAUCCUCUCAUUUCUUGAUAACAAUAUACAUAAUUUAGCAAAACAAGAACACUAAUAACACUAUCAAUCUUCUCAUUUCUUGAUAACAAUAUACAAAAUUUAGAAAAACAAGAACACUAAUAACACUAUCAAUCUUCACAUUUCUUGAUAACAAUAUACAUAAUUUAGCAAAACAAGAACAAUAAUAACACUCUCAGUCCUCUUUUUUCUUGAUAAUAAUAUACAAAAUUUAACAAAAGAAGAACACUAAUAACACUAUCAAUCUUCUGAUUUCUUGAUAACACUAUACAAAAUUUAGCAAAACAAGAACACUAAUAACACUGUCAAUCUUCUCAUUUCUUGAUAACAAUAUACAAAAUUUAGCAAAACAAGAACACUAUUAAUCUUCUCAUUUUUUGAUAACAAUUUACAAAAUUUAGCAAAACAAGAACACUAAUAACACUAUCCAUCCUCUCAUUUCUUGAUAACAAUAUACAAAAUUCAGCAAAACAAGAACCCUAAUAACACUAUCAAUCUUCUCAUUUCUUGAUAACAAAAUUUAGCACAAACAAGAACACUAAUAAACACUAUCAAUCUUUCUUGAUAACAAUAUACAAAAUUCAGCAAAACAAGAACACUAAUAACACUAUCAAUCUUCUCAUUUCUUGAUAACAAUAUACAAAAUUCAGCAAAACAAGAACACUAAUAACACUAUCAAUCCUGUCAUUUCUUGAUAACAAUAUACAAAAUUUAGCAAACCAAGAACAUUAAUAACAUUAUCAAUCUUCUCAUUUCUUGAUAACAAUAUACAAAAUUUAGCAAAAUAAGAACACUAAUAACACUAUCAAUCUUCUUAUUUCUUGAUAACAAUAUACAAAAUUUAGCAAAGCAAGAACACUAAUAACACUAUCAAUCUUCUCAUUUCUUGAUAACAAAAUAGAAAAUUUAGCAAAACAAGAACACUAAUAACAAUAUCAAUCCUCUCAUUUCUUGAUAACAAUAUACAUAAUUUAGCUAAACAAGAACACUAUCAAUCUUCUCAUUUCUUGAUAACAAUAUACAAAAUUUAGCAAAACAAGAACACUAAUAACACUAUCAAUCCUCUCAUUUCUUAAUAACAAUAUACAAAAUUCAGCAAAACAAGAACCCUAAUAACACUAUCAAUCUUCUCAUUUCUUGAUAACAAUAUACAAAAUUCAGCAAAACAAGAACACUAAUAACACUAUCAAUCCUCUCAUUUCUUGAUAACAAUAUAAAAAGUUUAGCAAACAAGAACACAAUAACACUAUCAAUCUUCUCAUUUCUUAAUACAAAUAUAGAAAAUUUAGCAAAACAAGAACACUAAUAACACUAAUCAAUCUCUCUCUUUCUUAGAUAACAAUAUACACAAAUUUUAGCAAAACAAGAACACUAAUAACAUUAUCAAUCUUCUCAUUUCUGAUAACAAUUAGACAAAUUUAGCAAAACAAGAACACUAUAUAACACUAUCAAUCUUUCUCAUUUCUUGAUAACAAUAUACAAAAUUAUAAAAACAGAAACACUAAUAACACUAUCAAUCUUCUCAUUUCUUGAUAACAAUAUAACAAAAUUUAGCAAAACAAGAACACUAAUAACACUAUCAAUCUUCUCAUUUCUUGAUAAAAAUAGCAAAAUUAGCAAAACAAGACACUAUAACAACUAUCAAUCUUCUCAUUUCUUAAUAACAAUAUACAAAUUUAGCAAAAAGAACACUAAUAACACUAUCAAUCUUUCCAUUUCUUGAUAACAAUAUACAAAAUUGCAAAACAAGAACACUAAUAACACUCAAUUCUUCUCAUUUCUUGAUAACAAUAUACAAAAUUUAGCAAAACAAGAACACUAUCAAUCUUCUCAUUUCUUGAUAACAAUAUACAAAAUUUAGCAAACAAGAAACACUAAUAACACUAUCAUCUCUCAUUUCUUGAUAACAAUAUACAAAAUUCAGCAAAACAAGAACCUAAUAACAUAUCAAUCUUCUCAUUUCUUGAUAACAAUAUACAAAAUUCAGCAAAACAAGAACAUAAUAACUAUCAAUCCUCUCAUUCUUGACAACAAUAUACAAAAUUAAGGCAAAACAAGAACAUUAAUAACAUUAUCAAUCUUCUCAUUUCUUGAUAACAAUAUACAAAAUUUAGCGAAACAAGAACACUAAUAACACUAUCAAUCUUCUCUUUUUUCUUAAUAACAAUAUACAAAAUUUAGCAAAACAAGAACACUAAUAACACUAUCAAUCUUCUCAUUUCUUGAUAACAAUAUACAAAAUUUAGCAAAAACAAGAACACUAAUAAACACAUCAAUCUUCUCAUUUCUUGAUAACAAUAUACAAAAUUUAGCAAAGCAAAGAACACUAAUAACACUAUCAAUCUUCUCAUUCUUGAAUAACAAAAUAGAAAAUUUAGGCAAAACAAGAACACUAAUAACAUCAAUCCUUCAUUUCUUGAUAACAAUAUACAAAUUUAGCAAAACAAACACUAAUAACAUAUCAACCUCAUUUCUUGAUAACAAUAUACAAAAUUUGCAAAACAAGAACACUAUAUUAACACUAUCAAUUUCUCAUUUCUUAAUAACAAUAUACAAAAUUUAGCAAAAAAAACAAAACAUAAUAACACUAUCAAUCUCUCAUUUCUUGAUAACAUAUACAAAAUUUGGCAAAACAAGAACACUAAUAACACUAUCAAUGCUUCUUCAUUUCUUGAUAACAAAUAUACAAAUUUAAAAACAAGAACACUAUAACAACUAUCAAUCUUCUCAUUUCUUGAUAACAAUAUACAAAAUUUAGCAAAACAAGAAACUAAUAACACUAUCAAUCUUCUCAUUUCUUGAUAACAAUAUCAAAAUUUAGCAAAACAAGAACACUAUAACACUAUCAAUCUUCUCAUUUCUUAAUAACAAUAUACAAAAUUUAGCAAAACAAGAACACUAAUAACACUAUCAAUCUCUCAUUUCUUGAUAACAAUAUACAAAAUUUAGCAAAACAAGAACACUAAUAACACUUCAAUCUUCUCAUUUCUUGAUAACAAUAUACAAAAUUUAGCAAACAAGAACACUAAAACACUAUCAAUCUUCUCAUUUCUUGAUAACAAUAUAAAUUUAGCAAAACAAGAACACUAAUAACAACAUCUCAUCCUCUAUUUCUGAUAACAAUAUACAAAAUUCAGCAAACAAGAACCCUAAUAACACUAUCAAUCUUCUCAUUUCUUGAUAACAAUAUACAAAAUUCAGAAACAAGAACACUAAUAACACUAUCAAUCUUCUCAUUUCUUGAUAACAAUAUAAAAUUUAGCAAAAACAAGAACAUUAAUAACAUUAUCAUCUUCUCAUUUCUUGAUACAAUAUACAAAAUUUAGCAAAAAAGAACACUAAUAACACUAUCAAUCUUCUCAUUUCUUGAUAACAAUAUACAAAAUUUAGCAAACAAGAAACUAAAACACUAAUAAUCUCUCAUUUCUUGAUAACAAUAUACAAAAAUUAUAGAAAACAAGAACACUAUCAAUCUUCCUCAUUUUUUGAUAACAAUAUCAAAAUUUAGCAAAACAGAACACUAAAACACUAUCUCUUCUCAUUUCUUGAUAACAAUAUACAAUUCGCAAAACAAGAACACUAAUAACACUAUCAAUCUUCUCAUUUCUUGAUAACAAUAUACAAAAUUUAGCAAAACAAGAACACUAAUAACACUAUCAAUCCUCUCAUUUCUUGACAACAAUAUACAAAAUUUAGCAAAACAAGAACAUUAAUAAACUAUCAAUCUUCUCAUUCUUAUAACAAUAUACAAAAUUUAAGCGAAACAAGAACACUAAUAACACUAUCAAUCUUCUCAUUUCUAUAAUAACGAAUAUACAAAAUUUAGCAAAAAAGAAAACACUAAUAACACUAUCAAUCUUCUCAUUUCUUGAUAACAAUAUACAAAAUUACAAAACAGAACAACUAAUAACACAUCAAUUUUCUCAUUUCUUGAUAACAUAUACAAAAUUUAGCCAAAAGCAAGAAACACUAAUAAACUAUCAAUCUUCUCAUUUCUUAAUAACAAUAAUAGAAAAUUUAGCAAAACAAGAAACACUAAAACACUAUCAAUCAUCUCAUUUCUUAAUAAACAAUACANNNNNNNNNNNNNNNNNNNNNGGCAAAAAAAGAAGGGAGAGGAGGGAGGAGUAGAGGGAAUAUAUAUCUGCAACAUACAGCCAGGAGAGUAUUAUAUUUAAUUUUAAUAUAGAGAGAAUUCACACACAUUACAGUAAGUAACUCAAUAUAUAUAAAUUAACAACAUCUCUAUAUGUAUUAUAAUAUACACAUAUAAUCUAUAUAUUAUCUCAAUCUAGUAUCACUAAUUAGAUAUCACUUAGAUCACAUACACCUUAUAACUCACAAAAAGAAUAUUUUAUAUAUAUAGCGCGAGAGAUAUAUAUACCACUCACUAGAAAAUACACAAAUCACAAAUUAUGACACCACUAUAUUCUUUCACAAAUGAGUUGACAUUAUAUAUAUAAAUACUAAAUAUUGUGUAGCAACAAUGAUAUAAUACUCACGCUUAUAAAUAACAUCUAUAGUAAGAAAGAAGAAAUAUUUAUGAAUAAACAAUCAUUGCUAUAUAAUAAUGAGAGAGUGCACAACACAUAAUAUAGGAACAUCAAUAUAGUAACAACAUAAUUCGGAUUAUGUCUCUCUCUAUAUGCUCAUAAUUUAUGCGUAUUAGAUAUAAAAAUAAUACAAAUAGCUUCUCACAUGCAAUAAAUGCAGGAUCACAAAUAUAUAUUAACACUAGUAAUCACAAACUUACUUACUCAUUUUUCUUGAAUAACUAAAUAUAUAACUUUUAAAGCACAUAACCACACGUAUAUUCACCUAAUAAACACUAUCAAUCUCUCAUUUCUUGAUAACAAUAUACAAAAUUUAGCAAAAACAAGAAACAACUAUAAUAACAUUAUCAAUUCGCUCUCAUUUCUUGAAAACAAUAUACAUAAUUUAGCAAAACAAGAACAAUAAAACACUCUCAAUCCUCUCAUUUCUUAAUACAAUAUACAAAAUUUAAGAAAAAGAAGAAACACUAAUAACACUAUCAAUCUCUGAUUUCUUGAUAACAAUAACAAAAUUAGCAAAACAAGAACACUAAUAACACUAUCAAUCUUCUCAUUUUCUUAUAACAAUAUACCAAAAUUUAAGCAAAACAAGAAACACUAAUAACACUAUCAAUCUUCUCAUUUCUUGAUAACAAUAUACAAAAUUUAGCAAAACAAGAACACUAAUAAACACUAUCAAUCUUCUCAAUUCUUGAUAACAAUAUACAAAAUUAAAAAAACAAAAGAACACUAAUAACACUAAUCAAUCUUCUCAUUUCUUGAUAACAAAUAUACAAUUUAAAAAACAAGAACACUAAUAACACUAUCAAUCUCUCAUUUCUUGAUAACAAUACUACAAAUUGCAAAACAAGAACACUAAUAACACUCAAUCUUCUCAUUUCUUAUAACAAUAAAAAAUUUAGCAAACAAGAACACUAAUAACACUAUCAAUCUUCUAUUUCUUGAUAAACAAUAUAAAAAAUUUAGCAAAAUAAAAACACUAAUAACACUAUCAAUCUUCUCAUUUCUUGAUAACAAUAUAAAAAAUUUAGCAAAAACAGAGACACUAAUAACACUAUCAAUCUUCUCAUUUCUUGAUAACAAUAUACAAAAUUUAGCAAAACAAAGAACACUAAUAAAACUAUCAAUCUUCUCAUUUCUUGAAUAACAAAUACAGAAUUUUAGCAAAACAAAGAACACUAAUAACACUAUCAAUCCUCUCAUUUCUUGAUACCAAUAUACAAAUUUAGCAAAACAAGAACACUAAUAAACUAUCAAUCUCUCAAUGUUCUUGAUAAUACAAUAUAUAAAUUUAGCACAAACAAGAACACUAAUAAACACUAUCAAUCUCUCAUUUCUUGAUAACAAUUACAAAUUUAGCAAAACAAGAACGUACUAAUAACACUAUCAAUCCUCAUUUCUUGAUAACAAUAUACAAAUUAGGAAACAAGAACACUAAUAACACUAUCAAUCUUAAUUUCUUGAUAACAAUAUACAAAAUUAGCAAAACAAGAACACUAAUAACACUAUCAUCUUCUCAAUUUCUUGAUAACAAAUAAUACAAAAAUUUAGCAAACAAGAACACUAAUAACACUAUCAAUCUUCUAAUUUCUUGAUAACAAUAUACAAAAUUUAGGAAAAAAGACAUGAUAACAUAUCAAUCUUCUCAUUCUUUUGAUAACAAAAUACAAAUUUAAGCAAAGCAAAGAACACUAAUAAAACUUCAAUUUCUCAUUUCUUGAUAACAAAAUAGAAAAAUUUUAGCAAAACAAGAACACAAAUUACUAUCAUCUUCUCAUUUCUUGAUAACAAUAUAUCAAAAUUAGCAAAACAAGAACAGCUAUAACAUUAAUGCAAUCCUCUCAUUUCUUGAUAACAAUAUACAUAAUUAGCAAAAACCAAGAAACACUAAUCAUCUUCUCAUUUCUUGAUAAUAAUAUACCCAAAAUUUAGCAAAACAGAACCAAUAACACUAUCGAUCCUCUCCCUUUCUUGAUAACAAAUAAAGUACGAAAUUCAGCAAAAAAGAACGCUAAUAACUACUAUCAGAUCUUCUCAUUUCUUGAUAACAAUAUACAAAAUUCAGCAAAACAAGAACACUAAUAACAUUAUCAAUCCUCUCAUUCUUGAUCAACAAAUAUAACAAAAUUUAGCAAAACAAGAACAUUAAUAACAUUAUCAAAUCUUUCCAUUUCUUGAUAACAAUAUAGAAAAUUUAGGCGAAACAAGAACACUAUAACACUAUCAAUCAUCCUUUCAUUUCUAAUAAUAAUAUAAAAUUUAGCAAAACAAGAACAACUAAAUAACACGUCAAAUCUUCACAUUUCUUGAUAAACAAUAUACAAAAUUUAGCAAAACAAGAACACUAAUAACACUAAUCGAUCUUCUCAUUUUCUUGAUAACAAUAUACAAAAUUUAAAGCAAAGCAAGACCACUAAUAACACUAUCCAAGCUUCUCAUUUCUUGAUAACAAAAUAGAAAAUUUAGCAAAACAAGAACACCUGAAUACACUAUCAUCCUUCUCAUCUCUUGAUAACAGUAUAUCAAAACUUUAGCAAAACAAGAACACUAAUAACAUUAUCAAUCCUCUCAUUUUCUUGAUAACAAUAUACAUAAUUUAGCAAAACCAAAACAAUAUACAACACUCUCAAUCCUCUCAUUUCUUAAUAACAAUAUACAAAAUUUAAGAAAAGAAGAACACUAAUGACACUAAUCAAUCUUCUGAUUUCUGAUAAACAAUCUACAAAAUAUAGCAAAACAAAGAACAUAAUAACACUAUGCAAAUCUUCUCAAUUUCUCAUAACAAUUAACAAAAUUUAGCAAAACAAAACACUAAAUAACACUAUCAUCUUCUCAUUUUUUGUACAAUAUAACAAAUUUAGCAAAACAAAGAACACUAAUAACACUAAUCAAUGCUUCUCAUUUCUUGAUACAAUAUACAAAAUUUUAGGCAAAACAAGAAACUAUAACACUAUCAAUCUUUCUCUAUUUCUUGAUAACAAUAUACAAAAUUUUUAAAAAAUAACAAGAACACAAUAACACUAUCAAUUUCUCAUUUCUCCUUGAUAACAAUAUACAAAAUUUAGCAAAACAAAAACACUAAUAACACUAUCAAUCUUCUAAUUUCUUGAUAAGCAAAUAUAAUCAAAAUUUUAGCAAAACAAUAACACUAAUACACUAUCAAUCUUCUCAUUUCUUUCUUGAUAACAAUAUACAAAACUUAAAAAAACAAAGAACACUAAUAAACACUACAUCUUCUCAUUUUUGAUAACAAAUUUACAAAACUUUAAAAAAACAAAAAACUAAUAACACUAUCAAUCUUCUCAUUUCUGAUAACAUAGAUAAAAUUUUGCAAAAACAACGAACACUAAUAACUACUGUCACUCUUCUCAUUUCUGAUAAACAAUAUACAAAAUUUAGCAAAACAAGAACACUAAUAACACUAUCAAUCUUCUGAUUUUCUUGAUAACAAUUUAUACAUAAUUUUGGCCAAAUAAAAACCUAAUAACACUAUAAAUCUCUUCAUUUCUUGAUAACGAUAUAAAAACUUAGCAAAAACAAGGACACUAAUAACACUAUCAAUCUUCACUUUCCUUGAUAUACAAUGAUACAAAAUUUAGCAAAACAGAAACACUAAUACAAAAACUAUCAAUCUUCUCAUUUCUUGAUAACAAUAACAGAAUUUUGCAAAACAAGAACAUUGAUAAACUAUCAAUCCUCUCAUUUCUUGAUAACAAUAUAACAAGAAUUUAGCCAAAAAAAGAACACUAAUAAACUCUAAUCCUCCAAUUUCUUGAUAAUAAUAUCAUAAAAUUUUAGCAAAACAAGAAACCAUAACACUAUCAAUCCUCUCAUUUAUUGAUAACAAUGUAACAGAAUUUAUCAAAGAACAAGAACACUAUAACACUUAUCAAUCCUCUUCAUUUCUGAUAACAAUUAGCAAAUUGCAGUAACAAAACAAGAAUACUAAUAUACUACUCUCAUCUUCUUCAUUUCUGAUAUACUAUAUUAUCAUAAAUUCAGCAAAACAUAGAACACUAUAACACUAUCAUCCUCUCAAUUUCUUGAAUAACAACAUACAAAAUUUAGCAAAACAAGAACAUUAAUAACAUUUAUCAAGUCUUCUCAUUUCCUUGAUAACAAUACUACAAAAUUUAGCAAAAACAAGAACACUAAUAACGAAUUUUCAAUUCUUUUUCAAUUUCCUUGAUUAACAAUAUACAAAAUUUAGCAGAAGCAAGAACAGACUAAUAAACUGAUCAAUCUUCUCAUCUUCUGAUAACAAAAAUAGAAAAUUUAGCAAAACAGAAGAAACACUAAUAACACUAAUCAUUCCUUCUCAUUUUCUUGAUAACAAUAUACAAAAAUUUAGCAAAACAGAACACUAAUAACAAUUAUCAUCCAAUCAUUUUCUUGAUAACAAUAUAUCAAAAUUUAGCAAACAAAAACAACUAAUAACACAAUCAAUCCUCCUCAUUUUCUUGAUUUAACAAUAUACAAAAUUCAGCAAAACAAGAACAGCCUAAUAACACUAUCAAUCUUUCAAUUUCUUAAUAACAAUAUACAAUUCAGCAAAACAAGAACACUAAUAACACUAUAUCCUCGUCAAUUUUCUUGAUAACAAUAUACAAUUUAAGCAAAAACAAGAACAUUAAUAACAUUAUCAAUCUUCUCAUUUCUUGAUAACAAUAUACCAAGUUAAGCAAAACAAGGACACUAAUAACACUAUCAAUCAUCUCAUUUCUUAAUAAUAAUAAUAUCAAAAUUUAGCAAAACAAGACCACUAAUAAACUAUGCAAUCUUCUCAUUUCUUGAUAACAAUAUAACAAAAUUUAAGCAAAACCCAAGAACACUCAUUAACACUAUCAUCUUCUCAUUUCUUGAUAACAACAUAACAAAUUACAAACCCAAGAACACUAAUAACACUAUCAAUCUCACAUUCUUGAUAAGCAAAUAUACAAAAUUUAGCAAACAAGAACAUUAAUAAACUAUCAAUCCUCUCAUUUCUUGAAUAACAAUAUACAAAUAUUCAGCAAAACAAGAACCUAAUAACAACUAUCAAUCUUCUCAUUUCUUGAAUAACAAUAUAAACUAAAAUUCAGCAAGAAGCAAGAACACUAAUAACCACUGUCAAUCCUCUCAAUUUCUGAUAACAAUUCAAAUUAAGCAAAACAAGAAAUAUUAAUAACAUAUCAAUCUUCUCAUUCUUAUAACAAUAUACAAGAAUUUGGCGAAACAAGGAACACCUAAUAACACAGAAUCAAUCAUCGUCAUUUUUAAUAAUAAUAUACAAAAUUUAGCACCACAAGAACACGUAAUAACACUACAAUCUUCUCAUCUUGAAUAACAAUAGUAUAAAUUAGCAAAACAAAGAAUAACUAAUAACGACUAUCACUCUUCGUCUUUCUUGAUAAGAAAAUACAAAAGUUUUAGCAAAACAAGAACAGCUAAUAACACUUUAUCGAAUCUUCACAUUUCUUGAUAACAAUAUACAAAAUUUAGGCAAAACCAAGAACACUAAUAACACUAUCAAUCCUCAUCAUUUCUUGAUAACAAUAUACGAAAUUCAGCAAACAAGAACCUAAUACACUAUCAAUCUUCACAUUUUCUGAUAACCAAUAUAAUAAUUUAUGCAAAACAAGAACACUAAUAACACUAUCCAAUCCUCUCAUUUAUUGAUAACAAUGUACAGAAUUUCAGCAAAGACAAGAACACUAAUAACACUAUCAAUCCUCAUCAUUUCUUCCUUGAUAACAAUAACAAAAUUCAGCAAAACAAGAAACACUAAUAACACUAUCAAUCUUCUCAUUUCUUGAUAACAAUAUACAAAAUUUCAGCAAAACAAGAACACUAUAACACUAUCAAUCCUCUAUUUCUUGAUAAACACAUACAAAAUUUAGCAAACAAAACAUUACUCAAGCAUUAAUCAAUCUUCUCAUUUCUUGAUAACAAACAAAAUUAGCAAAACAAGACACUACUAAUAACCUUUCAAUCUUCUCAUUUCUUGAUAACAAUAUACAAAUUUAGCAAAACAAGACACUAAUAACACUAUCAAUCUUCUCAUUUCUUGAUAACAAAUACAAAAUUUAGCAAAAGAAGAACACUAAAUACACUAUCAAUCUUCUCAUUUCUUGAUACAAUAUACAAAAUUUAGCAAAACAAGAACACUAAUAACAAUUCAUCCUCUCAUUUCUUUGAUAACAAAUACAAAAUUUAGCAAAAACAAGAGAACACUAUAACACUAUCAAUCCUCUCAUUUCUUGAUAACAAUAUACAAAAUUUCAGCAAAACAAGAACCCUAAUACACAUUCAAUCUUCUCAUUCUCUUAUAAACAAUAUACAAAAUUCAGCAAAACAAGAACACUAAUAACACUAUCAAUCCUCUCAUUUCUGAUAACAAUAUACAAAAUUUAGCAAAACAAGAACACUUAAUAACACUAUCAAUCGUUCUCAUUUUGAUAACAAUAUACAAAUUUAGCAACAAAACAAGAACACUAAUAAACAUUAUCAAUCCUCUCAUUCUUUGAUGAACAAUAUACAAAAUUUAGCAAAACAAGAACACUAAUAAACACUAUCAAUCCUCUCAUUUCUUGAAACAAAUAUACAAAAUUCAGCAAAACAAGAACCCUAAUAACACUAUCAAGCUUCUCAUUUCUUGAUAACCAAUAUACAAAAAAUUCAGCAAAACAAGAACACUAAUAACACUAUCAAUCCUCUCAUUUCUUGUAACAAUAUACAAAUUAGCAAAACAAGCAACGAUUAUAACAGUUAUCAAUCUACUCAUUCUUGAUAACAAUAUACAAAAAGUUAGCGAAAACAAGGACACUAAUAACACUAUCAAUAUCUCAUUUCUUUAAUAAUAGAAUAUACAAAAUUAGCCAAACAAGACCCCUAAUAACCACUAUUCAAUCUUCUCAUUCUUGAUAACAAUAUCAAAUUUAGCCGAAAAACAAAGAACACUAAUUACACUAUCAAUCUUUCUCAUUUCUUGAUAAAAACAUACAAAAUUUAGCAAAACAAAGACAUAUAACACUAUUCAUCUUCACAUUCUUAUACAAUAUACCAAUUUAGCAAAACCAAGAAACACUAAAUAACACUAUCAAUCAAACAAGAACACUAAAACACUGAUAAUCUUCUCAUUUCUUAAUAACAAUAUACAAAUUCUAGCAAACAAGACACUAAUAACAUAUCAAUCUUCUCAUUUCUUUAUAAACAAUAUACAAAAUUUAGCAACAAGGAACAUUAAUAACAUAUAAUCUUCUUCAUUUCUGCUAAACAAUAUACAAAAUUUAGCGCAAACAGAACAGCUAAUAACACUUAUCCAAUACUUCUCAUUCUCUAAAUAACCAAUAUAAAAUUUAAACAAACAAGAAUAAUAACACAUAUCAAUCUUCUAUUCUUGAUAACAAUAGAUACAAAUUUGCAAAACAAGAACACAAAUCACUAUCAAUCUCUCAUUCUAUAUGAUAACAAUAUACAUAAAUUUAGCAACAAGAAACAUAUCAACUAUCAUCUCUAUUUCUAUAAACAAUAGAAAAUUUAGCAAAACAAGAACCUAAUAACACUAACAUCCUUCUCAUUUCUGGAUAACAAUAUACAAAUUUAGCAAACAAGAACACUAUCACCAUUAUCAAUCUCUUCAUCUUCUGAUACUUACAUAUUUGCCAAAAGACCAAUGACACAAUAUCUCACAUAAAACGUCAAUUUACAACCGAACACUAAUAACUAUAUCAUCUGUAAAACAAUCUAUAUUACAAAAUGUAACUCCUCUUCUCGAUCAAUUUCAAAUUGAAACGAAAACCUAAUACAUUAUAAUUUCAUUUAUAUCAAGCAAAACAAGAACUUAAAUACAUCUAUCACAGUUCUCUCAUUUUUAUUAACAAUAUACAAAAUUUAGCCAACAAGACACUAUAUAACGCCUCUCUACUAUCAAUAUAAAUCGCAACAAGUAUCUGCAAUUUCUUAUCUAUAACCAUAUACAAUUAGCAAACAAAGAAACAUUAAACAUCUAUCAAUCUUCUCAUUCUUGAUAACGAAUAUACAAAAUUUUAGCGAAAACAAGAAACACUAAUAACACUAUCAAUCUUCUAUUUACUUAGAUAACAAUACACAAAAUUUUAGCAAAACAAGAACACAACAACUAUCAUCUUCUCAUUUUAUAUAACAAUAUACCAAACAUUAGCAAAAAAGAACAUACUAAAACACAUUAUCAUUCCUUCUCAUUUCUUUGAUAACAAUUAUACAAAAUUCAGCCAAAGACAGAGAACCAUAAAACAUAGUCAAUCUUCUCAUUUCUUAAUAACAAAUAGCAAAUUUUAGCAAAACAAGGAACACUAAAUCAAAACACUAAUCAAUUUUCCAAUCUUCAUUUCUUGAUACCAAUAUACAAAAUUUAGCAAAACAAGAACACUAAUAACACUGUCAAUCUUCUCAUUCCUUGAUAACAAUAUACAAAAUUUAGCAAAACAAGAACACUAAUAACACUAUCAAUCCUCUCAUUUCUUAAUAACAAAAUAGAAAAUUUAGCAAAACAAGAACAUUAAUAACACUAUCAAUCUUCUCAUUUCUUGAUAACAAUAUACAAAAUUUAUCAAAACAAGAACACUAAUAACACUAUCAAUCCUCUCAUUUCUUGAUAACAAUAUACAAAAUUCAGCAAAACAAGAACACUAAUAACACUAUCAAUCUUCUCAUUUCUUGAUAACAACAUACAAAAUUUAGCAAAAGAAGAACACUAAUAACACUAUCAAUCUUCAUAUUUCUUGAUAACAAUAUACAUAAUUUAGCAAAACAAGAACACUAAUAACACUAUCAAUCUUCUCAUUUCUUAAUAACAAAAUAGAAAAUUUAGCAAAACAAGAACACUAAUAACACUAUCAAUCUUCUCAUUUCUUGAUAACAAUAUA
rnacentral:lncRNA from 1 species